GCCCCAUAGCAAACACAUCGAUGACAGCUGAUUCGCUGCUGGGCUGAUCGCUUCCUGCGCGCCUAUUUCUUUCACGGAAUACGACGGCGCACUGCGUUUCCCAAGAAAGUGCGACAAUUGAAAAUUGAACAAUUGAAAGUAACGGUCCGUUGACUGUAGGCGUUGUUGGCAAAUGGCAAGAAUUCUAUGGAAUGGUGGUGAAUACGAUUCGGUCCCAAGGAGCACAAAUGGCUCAGAAAGUGCACAGAAGUUGUAGAUGCAGAGCAGCAAAACAAGGACGAGUUUCGGUGGAAUAAGCUACGUGUUGGGACUGUUCGUUGUAAUGAAUGAGGAUCUGCAAAUCGAAAACUGCGGAGCUAGCCGGAAUCGAUUCCGACAAAAGCUUCAUUUUUCCCAUCACUAGUAUACAUGAUGUGAUCGGAUUUUACGGACCAGCGGGACCCGUGGACUACAAGUAACAUGGUUCAGCCUAGGGCUGGUCAUACUACUGAGCAUCAUUCUUCCUAACAAGUCAGCAAGGGCUCUGGUAUGGCGGCAGCCCAAGACUGAGCUCGCUGCCUCCCGAGAUACGAAUCAACAUAACUGUUGACGUUACGGUCGAGAGGAAUUGCUUUUCGAGAGAAAGAUGCUCAGAAGGAUUUUUAAGCCCCGCAAGAUAGGAAAGAUCGAUGGAUGAGCCGAUACAACUUGUACGUGUACGAGAUGGACGUGUUGUAUGAGCUGUACGAUACUGUUAUGUGGCUGGUCAUGUAUACGCAUUGAACCGGACGACUUGAUGGCUCCUCGUAAAGUCCUUUUAGGUCUUCACACAAGGACAGAGGGAGUCACGUGACAGGUUGGAAUGGGAAGUUGGCUGUGAUAACGGAUUGACAGAUGGAGACACGUGACGGUGAGCGAUUUCGGACACUUCUGCAACUAGCCAAGAUAGCAAAGGUUGGUUGUAUAGUGCUGUGUAAGUAAGCAUGUUAUUUAGAGUAGAACAUUGGCAGGCUUCGAACCUCACUUUACCUUAGAAAUCUGUCCUUCAUUGCGACGAUCGGAUGUGAAGUUUCAAAUCGUUUCAAAUAAAUAUACCUAAAUAGAGAA